CCUACGGGUGGCAGCAGUAGGGAAUCUUCCACAAUGGGCGAAAGCCUGAUGGAGCAACGCCGCGUGGGUGAAGAAGGUCUUCGGAUCGUAAAACCCUGUUGUUAGAGAAGAAAGUGCGUGAGAGUAACUGUUCACGUUUCGACGGUAUCUAACCAGAAAGCCACGGCUAACUACGUGCCAGCAGCCGCGGUAAUACGUAGGUGGCACGCGUUAUCCGGAUUUAGUGGGCGUAAAGGGAACGCAGGCGGUCUUUUAAGUCUGAUGUGAAAGACUUCGGCUUAACCGGAGUAGGGCAUUGGAAACUGGGAGACUGUAGUGCAGAAGAGGAGAGGGGAACUACAGGUGUAGCGGUGAAAUGCGUAGAUAUAUGGAAGAACACCAGUGGCGAAAGCGGCUCUCUGGUCUGUAACUGACGCUGAGGUUCGAAAGCGUGGGUAGCAAACAGGAUUAGAUACCCGAGUAGUC
rnacentral:rRNA from 1 species